rnacentral:tRNA from 1 species
GCCCGGAUGGCGGAAUCGGUAGACGCGACGGUCUCAAACACCGUUGGGGCGACCCAUCCCGGUUCGAGCCCGGGUCCGGGUACGA